rnacentral:rRNA from 1 species
AGUGAACGCUGGCGGUAGGCCUAACACAUGCAAGUCGAACGGCAGCACAGUAAGAGCUUGCUCUUACGGGUGGCGAGUGGCGGACGGGUGAGGAAUACAUCGGAAUCUACUUUUUCGUGGGGGAUGACGUAGGGAAACUUACGCUAAUACCGCAUACGACCUACGGGUGAAAGCAGGGGAUCUUCGGACCUUGCGCGAUUGAAUGAGCCGAUGUCGGAUUAGCUAGUUGGCGGGGUAAAGGCCCACCAAGGCGACGAUCCGUAGCUGGUCUGAGAGGAUGAUCAGCCACACUGGAACUGAGACACGGUCCAGACUCCUACGGGAGGCAGCAGUGGGGAAUAUUGGACAAUGGGCGCAAGCCUGAUCCAGCCAUACCGCGUGUGUGAAGAAGGCCUUCGGGUUGUAAAGCCCUUUUGUUGGGAAAGAAAAGCAGCAGGUUAAUACCCCGCUGUUCUGACGGUACCCAAAGAAUAAGCACCGGCUAACUUCGUG